rnacentral:rRNA from 1 species
CCCUCGAGGCGUUCGGGGGAAAACCGUUUGGGUUGAGUCCGGGAAAAGGAGAGGGGGAUUCCCCGGUGUAGCGGGGAAAAUGCCCAGAUAUCGGGAAGAACACCCCGUGGCGAAGGCGGCUCUCUGGGACGGUACUGACGCUGAGACGCGAAAGCGUGGGGAGCGAACAGGAUUAGAUACCCUGGUAGUCCACGCCGUAAACGAUGGGCACUAGGUGUGGCGGGUGUCGACUCCCGCUGUGCCGAAGCUAACGCAUUAAGUGCCCCGCCUGGGGAGUACGGCCGCAAGGCUAAAACUCAAAGGAAUUGACGGGGGCCCGCACAAGCAGCGGAGCAUGUGGUUUAAUUCGACGCAACGCGAAGAACCUUACCAGGGCUUGACAUGCACUGGAAAGCCGUAGAAAUACGGCCUCCCUUCGGGGCCAGUGUGCAGGUGGUGCAUGGCCGUCGUCAGCUCGUGUCGUGAGAUGUUGGGUUAAGUCCCGCAACGAGCGCAACCCCUGUCCCAUGUUGCCAGCGUGAAAGACGGGGACUCAUGGGAGACUGCCGGUGACAAAUCGGAGGAAGGUGGGGUCGAAGUCAAGUCAUCAUGCCCCUUAUGUCCUGGGCUACACACGUGCUACAUUGGCCGAUACAAAGGGCUGCAAACUCGUGAGAGGGAGCGAAUCCCAAAAAGUCGGUCUCGGUUCGGAUUGGAGGCUGAAACUCGCCUCCAUGAAGGCGGAGUUGCUAGUAAUCGCGGAUCAGCAAUGCCGCGGUGAAUAUGUUCCCGGGCCUUGUACACACCGCCCGUCACACCACGAAAGUCGGCAAUACCCGAAGCCGGUGGCCUAACCCGCAAGGGAGGGAGCCGUCGAAGGUAGGGUCGAUGAUUGGGGUGAAGUCGUUUCAAGGGAGCCGUAGCGGAAGCUGCGGCUGGAUCACCUCCUUUAACUGGGAUCCCCGGG